rnacentral:rRNA from 1 species
UACGGAGGGUGCGAGCGUUGUCCGGAAUCACUGGGCGUAAAGGGCGCGUAGGUGGCGCGACAAGUCAACGGUGAAAGCUCGGCGCUCAACGCCGAGUCGGCCGUCGAUACUGUUGGGCUUGAGCACUGUAGAGGCUAAUGGAAUUCGGGUGGUAGCGGUGGAAUGCGUAGAGAUCAGGAAGAACACCCGUGGCGAAGGCGGCACUCUGGGCCUGUACUGACGCUGGAGACGCGAAAGCGCGGGGAGCGAACGGG